CAGCCGCCGCGGGAAUACGAAGGGGGCUAGCGUUGUUCGGAAUUACUGGGCGCAAAGCGCACGUAGGCGGAUAUUUAAGUCAGGGGUGAAAUCCCAGAGCUCAACUCUGGAACUGCCUUUGAUACUGGGUAUCUUGAGUAUGGAAGAGGUUAGUGGAAUUGCGAGUGUAGAGGUGAAAUUCGUAGAUAUUCGCAGGAACACCAGUGGCGAAGGCGGCUAACUGGUCCAUUACUGACGCUGAGGUGCGAAAGCGUGGGGAGCAAACAGGAUUAGAUACCCCUGUAGUCCCUGUCUCUUAUAC
rnacentral:rRNA from 1 species